GACGAACGCUGGCGGCGUGCUUAACACAUGCAAGUCGAACGGAAAGGCCCUGCUUUUGUGGGGUGCUCGAGUGGCGAACGGGUGAGUAACACGUGAGUAACCUGCCCUUGACUUUGGGAUAACUUCAGGAAACUGGGGCUAAUACCGGAUAGGAGCUCCUGCUGCAUGGUGGGGGUUGGAAAGUUUCGGCGGUUGGGGAUGGACUCGCGGCUUAUCAGCUUGUUGGUGGGGUAGUGGCUUACCAAGGCUUUGACGGGUAGCCGGCCUGAGAGGGUGACCGGCCACAUUGGGACUGAGAUACGGCACAGACUCCUACGGGAGGCAGCAGUGGGGAAUAUUGCACAAUGGGCGGAAGCCUGAUGCAGCAACGCCGCGUGCGGGAUGACGGCCUUCGGGUUGUAAACCGCUUUCGCCUGUGACGAAGCGUGAGUGGCGGUAAUGGGUAAAGAAGCACCGGCUAACUACGUG
rnacentral:rRNA from 1 species